AUGGUGUCACGGGCUGCAGACAGGUGGGGGCUCCUGCUGACCUGGGAGGGUGGCCGGGCAGUGGUGCCGCUCUCAUCCCCGGGCACACGCCUGGCAUGUGGGUACAAGACAUGAAGAGGAGCGCUGGCAUCCUGCUGCUGACCUGCCUGCUGCUGCUGCUCAUCACUGGCUGGCUGACCAUCCGGGACCAGGCGCACUACAGACCCGGAAAUAUAACAACCAGGGUGGGACUGGUCAAGCCCGAAGUCAACCAUGUAAUUCCUGCACAGAAUAAUUACACGAGUAACGCAUUCUGCCGAGACGUUCCGGAUCGCCUCUUGUCUGUGUCCCUGAGGAAAAGGUACUCAGAGGAUUGUUACAUCCAGGCUGUAAAUGAGAUACAGAACUGUACGUGGCAGAAGCAACCGCAGGAAUAUAGUAGAUUCAGAUUUUACUUGUCUUCCUGCUGCAACGCGGUUAACAACUUCAUCGUGACGCAGAACAAUACCUCGCUGGGAAGUAACAUCACUUACGAGGUGGAAAGUAAAAAGAACAUUUUAAUUGCGGAGGACAUUUACAGAAUGCUGCCGAAGUCACAACCCUUUGAGGGAAUUCCCUUCAAGCAAUGUGCCGUGGUGGGAAAUGGCGGAAUAUUAACUAACAGCAGCUGCGGUGCUGAAAUCGACCGGUCGGAUUUUGUCUUUCGGUGUAACCUCCCACCUAUUUGGGGAAAUGCCGUCGCUGAUGUUGGAAAUAAGACGGACCUCGUCACAGUCAACCCGAGCAUCAUUGCUCUAAAAUAUGGAAAGCUUAGUGAGAUGAAAACAGCCUUUCUGAGGAACCUGACAAGUUACGGCUCCUCGUUCCUCUUAUUGCCUGCCUUUUCCUACAGCAGUAACACGGCCAUCUCUUUCGAGGUUCAUCAUCUGCUGAAGAAAUACCAGGCGAAGCAGCGAGCUAUUUUUUUCCAUCCCAAUUAUCUUAAAAGCCUGGCGCAGUUUUGGAGGGGGAGGGGGGUGCGGGCCUAUCGGCUCUCCACGGGAUUCAUGAUAACCAGCGCCGCCAUAGAACUCUGCAAGGACGUCAAACUGUACGGAUUCUGGCCUUUCUCCAAGACCCCGAACGGGAAACCUAUUAGCCAUCAUUACUAUGACAACCAGCUGCCGAAACCUGGAUUUCACGCCAUGCCCAAAGAAUUUUAUCAAGUCCUGCAACUCCAUUAUAAAGGGGUCCUCAAGCUACAGAUAGGAGCCUGCCAGAAGAGGUGAGCCACGCUCACGUGCCAGUGGUGGGAUGUGCCAUUCAGAGACUAAAAUGCUCUUGUUACAUGAUGUUCCCUUCUUCUGGGUAUGAAGAGGUCAUACGAGGCCACCGCGGGCACUACGUCAUGGCACAGAAGCGGGCAACUUUUUUAUUUAUUUAUUUUUUACCGCAUGCAAGGACUGACAGAAAGAAACAAAAACAAAAGUUUAAACUAAAUCACUUGUUUUUUUUCCAUGUAAAAGAACACAGCGUGUCAGGCUCACAUUUUCUGCAACAGAGACGCGAACUGUAUUUUUGUUAGCCAACGGACAUUGAAAAAAUAAAAAAAGAAGAAACCAACCUGAAAAUCCAAAUGAACAAUGGAGACAACAAGGACUCGCUCUUUUCUAUACGGUCAGCGCCUUAUUAUUCUGUAAGGCGAUAAGUUAUUUGUAUAUAGAAUUGUUUUACUAACAUUCCACUAGUCACAAUGACCAAUGUACUAAAAACGUUCUGUAUGUCUCGUGUUUGUGACUCGAAUAGAGUCUGAGAGCAAAUACAGUCAUAGACACUUACAUGUUCUGUAUGUUUAACAUUGUUCUUUAUGCGUUGCCUAGCAACCAAAAGACUUCCUUUCUCUGUGACCACCAAUACUCUACAUAGCCAUAUGUUUACACUGGUUAUUUUGGGAAUUCCACAUAUCCUUCCGAGAAAUUGGGGUUUACAAGGAGGUUGCUAGAAUAAAGAAGGAAUCCUGAGGAAAAAAAAUGAUUUGACAGAUCUUAAAGGGGUACUCCGCCCCUUGACAUCUUAUCCCCGAUCCAAAGGAUUGGGGAUAAGAUGUCUGGUCGCGGGAGUCCCGCUACUGGGAACCCGUGCGAUCUCUCCUGCAGCACCCCAUGUCAUCUGGUGCACGAAACUAGCUUCACGGCCGCCACGCCCCCUCCCAUGGACUUGCAUUGAGGGGGCGGGGUGGGUGUGAUGUCACAAGGGGGCGUGGCCAUGACAUCACGGUCCUCCAGCCCCUGCAUCACCAGUCAUCAGGCACUGAGCGAAGCUCGCUCCGUUCACCAAAUGACAGGGGUGCUGCAGGAGAGAUCGCGGGGGUUCCAUCAGACCUAUGGAUAGGGCAUAAGUUGUCUAGGGGCGGAUUACCCCUUCGUGAUGUCACGGCAUGUCCCCUCAAUGCCAGUCUAUGGGAGGAGGCGUGGCGACAGCCACGCCACCUCCCAUAGACUUGCAUUGAGGGGGCAUGGCAUUACAUCAUGAGAGGUGUGGCCGUAACAUCAAGACCCCGCAGCCCGCAGCCAGCGUUCGGAACUAAUAACCCUUUAAAACGCCAUAAUAUGUGGAUUCCCAUUUUAGGUGGGUUGUUGGAUUAUGUUUGGGUUAAGGGUACAUGUAAAUCGGAUGUCAUGAUUUAGGAUUAUGCAAUUUCCCAGGCUUCUCAGAUGCUCGUCACAUUUGGUCUUGCCUAGUUUUAUACAUUGAAGUGAAUUGUGCCAGGAAGAGCAACCAAUCAGCAGCCAUUCUGUACCCACCGUGUGCCAGCUAGUUGCUUACUUUAGUGCCAAUGGAAGCCUGUUAGCGGAUACAAAUAGAACAAGUUAGCGUAGCUCACUCAAAAUAACAUAAUCACAGCCGAGGUUACCCUUGAAGGCCGACACCUCUCUUUCUACUCAUUUUCUAAUGUUUUAUAUUUAUAUU